GGCGAACGUAGCCAAGUGGAUCAAGGCAAU
rnacentral:tRNA from 1 species